rnacentral:misc_RNA from 1 species
GAUGAAGAACGCCGCGAAAUGCGAUACGUAAUGUGAAUUGCAGAAUUCAGUGAAUCAUCGAAUCUUUGAACGCACAUUGCGCCUGCCAGCACUCUGGCAGGCAUGCCUGUUCGAGCGUCAUUUCAACCAUCAAGCCCUAGGCUUGCGUUGGAGCCCUGCGGCUGCCGCAGGCCCCUAAAAGCAGUGGCGGGCUCGCUAUCACACCGAGUGCAGUAGAUUACUCUUCGCUCAGGGCGUGUGGCGGGUUCCAGCCGUGAAACCCCCUACUUCUCAAGGUUGACCUCGGAUCAGGUAGGAAUACCCGCUGAACUUAAGCAUAUCAAUAAGCGGAGGA